rnacentral:rRNA from 1 species
UACGUAGGGGGCAAGCGUUGUCCGGAAUCAUUGGGCGUAAAGCGCGUGUAGGCGGCCAGAUAAGUCCGUUCUGAAAGCCCGGGGCUCAACCCCGGGAGGCGGAUGGAUACUGUUUGGCUCGAGUCCGGAAGAGGCGAGUGGAAUUCCUGGUGUAGCGGUGAAAUGCGUAGAUAUCAGGAGGAACACCGGUGGUGUAGACGGCUCUCUGGACCGUAACUGACGCUGAGACACGAAAGCGUGGGUAGCAAACAGG